rnacentral:rRNA from 1 species
GUCCACGCCGUAACGAUGAAUGCUAGCCGUCGGUGAGCAUGCUCUUCGGUGGCGCAGCCAACGCAAUAAGCAUUCCGCCUGGGAGUACGAUCGCAAGAUUAAAACUCAAAGGAAUUGACGGGGCCCGCACAAGCGGUGGAGCAUGUGGUUCAAUUCGAAGCAACGCGAAGAACCUUACCAGGCCUUGACAUCCCGGUCGCGGCCCCUUGAAAGAGGGGCUUUCAGUUCGGCUGGACCGGUGACAGGUGCUGCAUGGCUGUCGU